CGCUAGCGGCAGGCCUAAUACAUGCAAGUCGAACGGAGCUAGCAAUAGCUUAGUGGCAAACGGGUGCGUAACGCGUAAGCAACCUGCCCUCAACUGGGGGAUAGCCCGGCGAAAGCUGGGGUAAACCCGCACGGUCCAUUUUUAUCACCUGGUAAGCUUGGUAAACAUUUAUGGGUUGAGGAGGGGCUUGCGUCUGAUUAGCUAGUUGGCGGGGUAAGGGCCCACCAAGGCGAUGAUCAGUAGGGGUUCUGAGAGGAUUGGCCCCCACAUGGGUACUGAGAUACGGACCCAACUCCUACGGGAGGCAGCAGUAGGGAAUAUUGGGCAAUGGGCGAGAGCCUGACCCAGCCAUGCCGCGUGAAGGAUGAAGGCGCUCAGCGUUGUAAACUUCUUUUGACUGGGAAGAACGGCAGGCCUGCGGGCUUGUGUGACGGUACCAGCAGAAUAAGCACCGGCUAACUCCGUGCCAGCAGCCGCGGUAAUACGGAGGGUGCAAGCGUUGUCCGGAUUUAUUGGGUUUAAAGGGUGCGUAGGUGGUUUUUUAAGUCUGGUUUGAAAGCUGGCUGCUCAACAGUCAGAUGUGGCUGGAAACUGAAGAACUUGAAUGAUUUGGCGGUAGCCGGAACGGGUCAUGUAGC
rnacentral:rRNA from 1 species